ACGCUGCCUUUGUACACCACCGCGCCUCCGCGUGGCGCCUGGGGUCAGGCUGCAGCAGCGCCAGAGCACGUGGUUGCGUAUAACUGGGGCCACCUGGUCCCCCGCGGCUGGUCCUUUUAACAAGGAGAUGG
ensembl:snoRNA